UAUGGAGCAAGCGUUAUCCGGAUUUACUGGGUGUAAAGGGAGCGUAGGCGGUAAGGCAAGUCUGAUGUGAAAGGCCGGGGCUCAACCCUGGGACUGCAUUGGAAACUGUUUAACUGGAGUGUCGGAGAGGCAAGUGGAAUUCCUAGUGUAGCGGUGAAAUGCGUAGAUAUUAGGAGGAACACCAGUGGCGAAGGCGGCUUGCUGGACGAUGACUGACGCUGAGGCUCGAAAGCGUGGGGAGCAAA
rnacentral:rRNA from 1 species